UUACUUGUCUGUUGAAAAAAUUAAAAAAAGAAACCUUAUCAUCGACAAAUUAUUUAUAAGUGUUAAUCGUUAUCAUUUGUUUUUUACACACAAAUUGAGAAUAUGAGUGUAAAAUGCCACAAGAAAAAGCAGGCAUCUGUAUAGAUUGGCGUCAAUGUGCAGUUCUUUACAAUCUGCUCACAAAAACAAAUUUAACAUUUUCGGAACGAAUACAACUAAAGCUUAGUCAAUGUGCCUACAAGAAUGAAUUCCCUUGGGUUUGUUGCCCUUUUGACCCGAAUCCGCCAGAUAAAUUACCAAAAUCUGGCUGUUGUGGAAAUCAACUGGACGUUUAUCACUGAUUUCACAUGGUUUUUUUAAAUUUGAAUUUGAUGUUUUUACUUUUUCUUGUAGCAAAUGUAUAAAAAAGCUAUCGUUGUGGUGGUGUCCUUAUCAAUGAUAACUAUGUUUUAACAGCAUCUCAUUGUGUGAAUGCAGAAUUAUCAGGCGUUAGGCUUGGUGAGUGGAAUCUAAGAGAACAUACAUAUGGAUUGCGAAGAGAACGUGUGCUCUGGUCCUUUUCAAGAUAUUCGUGUGAUAGAACGAAUUCGUCAUGAAGACUAUAAUCCAAAUUAAAUGGUCAAUGACAUAGCUCUCCUGCGUUUGGAAAGACCGGCUCCGUAUACGAGGGCGACUAUUUAAGUUUCUUCAAUAUGUAUGUUUUAGUAUUGCCCGAUGCAAACCAUUGUCAUAUUCGUAAAGUUGGACAUUUUUCAUGACCAUUUGACUUAACAGGACGAAUUUUAGUUUUGUGGUAUGGCCACGGUGUCAGUUGGAAAAGGUCAACUUCGCAAAAAAAUGAAAUUUACAAAAAAGAUUAUUUCUCAUAAGUUUUCAAAAAGAGCUGUCUGCUCAACAGUAUUACUUCCGACUCAAGUCGGGGUAUGGGAAGGAAGUACCAUGCCUUGCCACUGUAUACAACUGGUUCACUGAAUCCCAUCGUCAUGGUGCUCGCUACAGUGAUCAAUUGCACGAUGGUCCUUCGAAAAUUGAUGUCAUCGAGAAAAACUCUGGUGCCGAUUGAGUUAGGAUCGAAGUUUCUUUUACAGUUAAAUUGUGGUAUGCCCAAGGAUCACAGAGACUCCAAUCAUUUGGUUCUUCCAUGAAUUACAACAUGAAAAAAAUAAAUCUUUACGUGUCAACCCACAGUUGCUCAAAAAUCGAUUGAUUUUAAUCACAUCCAAAAAAUCAUAACCAAUUUGACAUAGGAUAAUAAAAACACGUCUAUACGAUCGCAAUAGAAGCCAAGACAUGAUUCCAGUAGUUUGGACCUGAAACAAAAACUUGGUUGACUCUCUGAGUCUUCAAACAUGAACACAAUCGAACAAAAGUUGUUCGUUUGUGAAGUGAUAGGGAAAAUCGGACCUCAUUAUUUUACAGUGUUAUGUGUCAUGUUGCUACCAUGCCUUUAGAGGAUGAAAGGUCCUUCAAUGCUGAAUAGUACACAACCAUUUGAUUGUCAAAAGUCAUCACGGGAAUAUGGAGACCAAAACUCUGAAACUUAUAAUCCCAAAACAUGGCAAAAAGAAGCCCAUCAAACAGUCGACUAUUUGACCACCCAAAAGAUCGAAUUGAUGCACAAUACUCCGUGUACGAAUUAUUCGGGACCCCUCUGUCCACCAGAGAUCAAAAUCAGUUGGAUACAAUAUAUUUUUCGUACUUGAAAUUAGGUGCAUAUUCAAAAAAGUGCACUUUUUGGAGUGUCAUGUUUAAGCUGCUGUCGUAGCCAUACCACAAAACUAAAAUUCGUCCUGUUAAGUCAAAUGGUCAUGAAAAAUGUCCAACUUCACGAAUAUGACAAUGCUUUGCAUCGGGCAAUACUAAAACAUACAUAUUGAAGAAACUUAAAUAGUCGCCUACGUACAUCGUGGAUCCAACCCAUUUGUCUGCCCACUUCAAGCGAUGGUCCCAAGGAAAAUGUCAACGGAUUUCCAAAUGUGGUGUCAGGCUGGGCCAGAGCGGGCUGGGAAGUACCUGAAGUAGUAUCAA